GUAGCUUUUUAAACCUCAGCCCCGCAGGGUUUGCAGUGUUUUACAAGAACAGAGUGAGCCAGGAUGGAUCCUCCUGCUCAGCUGGGCCAGCACUGUCUGUUGUGAGUUCUCCUCUGUCAGAGGAGGAAAAGCCACUUUGCUGUCCCUUGUAGGGCUGAGUGAGGCUGUGGAUGUCAGUGCAGAGCAUCUGCAGGCUCCUGGUGCUUGGUGUGCAGGAAACACCCCAGUGUGUCUGACCCGGGGGUGGAUGUGCAUUCCAGGAGCAACUCGGGUUGGGAAAGGCCAAGCAUGGGGUGGGAAGGGCUUUUUCCCGGGCCUGGACACUCUCAAGACUUGGGGUGGUUUUAAGUGUUUCUCGUUCUUUGGUUUCCCAGCCCGGAGCAGAGUCGGUGUUCCCUGAAUUGGAUGUGGAGUGUGGGAGUCUCUUGGGGAGGAGAGAAAUGUCCCUGCUGGGUGGUGUGUCCUUGAUGGUGGAAUUGCCUCUCUGUCCAUGUGCUGAGCUCCAUCUGCAGGGGACUGUCAGGCAUUGGAAAACCCCUGGAGCAAGAGGUGCCCAAAAGCGCUGGGGUUUGUGCCCGGCGAAACCUGCGAGUGUCCAGCUUCAAAGCCCCGCGGACUGUCCCCGGCGCGACUUGCCCGGAGCGCUGCCCUCGGCCGGGAGCGUCCGAUCCCGCCGGGAAUGCGGGAUGAGACUCGGGGGGACAUCGGCAACCGGGAGCGGGAGGGGCGGGACUGGGAUGAGC